rnacentral:rRNA from 1 species
AUAUUGGGCAAUGGUCGCAAGACUGACCCAGCCAUGCCGCGUGCAGGAAGACUGCCCUAUGGGUUGUAAACUGCUUUUGUACGGGAAGAAACCCCUCUACGUGUAGAGGGCUGACGGUACCGUAAGAAUAAGGAUCGGCUAACUCCGUGCCAGCAGCCGCGGUAAUACGGAGGAUUCUAGCGUUGUCCGGAUUUAUUGGGUUUAAAGGGUGCGUAGGCGGAUUAUUAAGUCAGAGGUGAAAGCCGGCAGCUCAACUGUCGAAUUGCCUUUGAAACUGGUAGUCUUGAAUACUGUUGAGGUGGGCGGAAUGUAUCAUGUAGCGGUGAAAUGCUUAGAUAUGAUACAGAACACCGAUUGCGAAGGCAGCUCACUAAGCAGUUAUUGACGCUGAGGCACGAAAGCGUGGGGAUCAAA